rnacentral:rRNA from 1 species
ACUCCUACGGGAGGCAGCAGUAGGGAAUCUUCCACAAUGGGCGCAAGCCUGAUGGAGCAACACCGCGUGAGUGAAGAAGGGUUUCGGCUCGUAAAGCUCUGUUGUUAAAGAAGAACACGUAUGAGAGUAACUGUUCAUACGUUGACGGUAUUUAACCAGAAAGUCACGGCUAACUACGUGCCAGCAGCCGCGGUAAUACGUAGGUGGCAAGCGUUAUCCGGAUUUAUUGGGCGUAAAGAGAGUGCAGGCGGUUUUCUAAGUCUGAUGUGAAAGCCUUCGGCUUAACCGGAGAAGUGCAUCGGAAACUGGAUAACUUGAGUGCAGAAGAGGGUAGUGGAACUCCAUGUGUAGCGGUGGAAUGCGUAGAUAUAUGGAAGAACACCAGUGGCGAAGGCGGCUACCUGGUCUGCAACUGACGCUGAGACUCGAAACGCAU